rnacentral:pre_miRNA from 1 species
UUUAUACUCCCUCCGUCCGAAAAUACUUGUCAUCAAAAUGGAUAAAAAGAGAUGUAUCUAAAACUAAAAUACGUCUAGAUACAUUUCCUUUUAUCCAUUUUGAUGACAAGUAUUUCCGGACAGAGGGAGUAUUUG